rnacentral:lncRNA from 1 species
UGAAUCCCAUUCUCCUCCCUUUGUGGCUUCACAGAGGGGUUUGCUAUUACUGAAAUUUGGGGAUCCAUAUAUGACUGAAUCUGAUAGCCCCCAUGAAUUCUCUAGUCUAAUGGAAUAUUGAAAGGAAUAGAAACAAGCAGAUUUCCUGUUUCUUUUGAGUGCAAGGGGCUAUUGUCUGUUCUGUUGCUUAGUCAGAGGGUAAUCAAAGUAUUUGACCUUUUUCUUGAUAGAUAUGGUCUUUUAUGUCAGAGUCCAGUACUGUUCCAAGGAUAGUGUCCUCAAGCCCCUGGGGGAAAUUGUCAUUUAGGGAAGGGGAGCAUACAUAGAUCCUCUGGCGCUUUAAGAUGCAGGAAUUUUUUGUUGUUGUUGUUAUCUCCCGGUGUAGGAUCUUGGCUAUUCAGAUUCUCCAACUCUCAAAUCUAAUGUAAAUCUUAGCAAAGAUUGAUGACCUGUGAUAUCAUUUGUAUAAAAGGUACCUAUGUCAAUCUCACCAUCGGCUGUCUGCCAAGUUUGCACGGCAGGCUCCCUGCAGGUCCUGGUGUGGCAGCCAUAUUGUGCUCACCCAGGUGUUGCUCUUUGAGUGGCUUUCUUUUCUUGACAGGUGGGAGCCUGCUCUAAUUGUAUAUAGUAGCUGCCCCACUUGUGUUUUGUUCGCUUGCCUUGGUGCAUGGACCUCUGUGUCCCUUCCUGUUGGUGGUCACAGUGUGUGGCUUGUAGCCAGUGUGGCAUGUCUUUCUGGAGUGUGCACCCUAUGGCCCACUAACUGGAUUUAACAUGAAUUUAUUUCUGAUUCAUAUUUUGGGCUUGCAGCAGUUGAGCCCUCUUGAUGUGUUGCGUCCUGUGCAUCAUAUAGAGUUGAGUGUGUUUAUCGGAAUUCUUCCAUAUUCAUCAAUCAUCAAUUUCCAAGCAAGUGGGAAGAAAAUGAAAGGAGAGUUUAGCACCAAAGGCUGUGAGAAAGCAUUCAUUACUUCUCUGGUUAAGGCUUACAUUUGAGCAUGGAAAUUGGUGCUUGCCCCCUGGGCCACUGGAGCCUUCCCCUUUAGUCUGGCCAUGCUUUUUUCCCCAUAUAAACAUUUUGACCAUUGGCUUUGUCUAGUGAGACCCCCCCC